GGUAAAAUGGCUGAUUAGGCGAUAAAUUGUAAAUUUAUUUAUGAUAUAUAAUAUCUUUUACU
rnacentral:tRNA from 1 species